AGAGUUUGAUCCUGGCUCAGGACGAACGCUGGCGGCGUGCUUAACACAUGCAAGUCGAACGGAAAGGCCUCUUCGGAGGUACUCGAGUGGCGAACGGGUGAGUAACACGUGGGCAAUCUGCCCUGCACUUCGGGAUAAGCCUGGGAAACUAGGGCUAAUACCGGAUACGCCCCUUGGGGGAAAGGUUUACUGCCGAAGGAUCGGCCCGCGUCUGAUUAGCUAGUUGGUGAGGUAACGGCUCACCAAGGCGACGAUCAGUAGCUGGUCUGAGAGGAUGAUCAGCCACACUGGGACUGAGACACGGCCCAGACUCCUACGGGAGGCAGCAGAAGGGCGAAUU
rnacentral:rRNA from 1 species